AGUGAACGCUGGCGGCGUGCCUAAUACAUGCAAGUCGAACGGAGUGACGCACGGGUGAGUAAUUUAUAGCUAAUCUGCCCUACACUAGAGGACAACAGUUGGAAACGACUGCUAAUACUCUAUAGUGUAGGAUGAGGCUAUAUUGUAUCAGCUAGUUGGUGAGGUAAUGGCUCACCAAGGGUAUGACGCAUAACUGGUCUGAGAGGAUGAUCAGUAAAAUCGGAAGUGAGGCACGGUCCAGACUCCUACGGGAAGCAGCAGUAGGGAAUAGUGCUCAAUGGGGGAAACCGAGAAGGAGCAACGCGGCGUGGAGGAUGAUACGUUGCGGAGCGGAAACUCCGGUUGUUAGGGAAGCGGUACCUAACGAAUAAGCACCGGCUAACUCCGUGCCAGCAGCCGCGGUAAUAC
rnacentral:rRNA from 1 species